rnacentral:rRNA from 2 species
GCGCGAAACCUCCACAAUGUGGGAAACCACGAUGGGGGAACUCCAAGUGGAUGCACUUUGUGUAUUCUGUUCUCGAGCCUAAAAAGCUCGAGAAGUAAGGGCCGGGUAAGACGGGUGCCAGCCGCCGCGGUAAUACCCGCGGCCCGAGUGGUGCUCAUUAUUAUUGAGUCUAAAGCGUCCGUAGCCGGCCGGGUAAAUCUCUGGGUAAAUCGGGCGGCUCAACCGUCCGAAUUCCAGAGACACUGCCCGGCUUGGGAUCGGGAGAGGGUGAUGGUACUCCUUGGGUAGGGGUAAAAUCCUGUAAUCCGAGGGGGACCACCAGUGGCGAAGGCGAUCACCUAGAACGAAUCCGACGGUGAGGGACGAAGCCCUAGGGCGCAAACGGG